AAGGUCUCGGAACACUUCGACGACACUUCGCACUUCAGCACCAUGAAGAACACAGCUGUCCUCGUCGCCCUGUCCAUCUUCUGUGUGGUCCUAGUGGCCAAUGCACAAAACAUUACUUCUAGAGUGGUAAGACAGGCUGAUCCCAACAUGCCACAACAAGCAUUCGCUGUGGCUGACGGAGAAAUGCCUGGUGAUAUGCCGAUGGGUGUAGCGGACGAGACGGGUAUGGGUAUGAUGUUGCCCGGUGCCUAGCUCUUGGUGAGCUCAAUGGAAACAUUGUAACAAAUAUGAAAUAAAACUGAGUACAAUUGUAA